AUUUUAUUUGUUAUAUUGGAUAUCUUGAUUGUUUAUCAAUCUGCUUAGACUUUCUCAUGCAGUUCUAAUGGAAAGUUUUUAGCAUCCUUGGGAAGUAGUGGUCCUUGUUGGGUUUGGGACCUAACCUCAUUGACGGUUGUAGCCAAUUUACCAAGAGAAAAUGGUGAGGUUUUCGGGUUCUGCCGUUUUUUCUCAUAACAGUGAUGAUAAUCAAACCUCAUAUGUGACUGCAAUGCAAGGCCAGCAUGGAAGCAUUAUCUCUUGGAACACUAUAUCAUGGAAGAGAGUUGGAUCAAAGAAAAUAGUCUGUGACCCUAUGUCUACCUUCAAUGUUUCAGCUGAUGGAAAACUCCUUGCAAUGUAAAUCUUCAAUUAAUGCUUCUUAUAGAAGAAGAAUUAGGAUUCCAUUUUAAAGGCUUUGCUGCAUUAAUCUGGAAGUUUUCCUUCGGGACAUGGCACUAACACAACCUCCUA